rnacentral:lncRNA from 1 species
GGAUUUGUGGGUGGUGAGGUAGUACUUCAAGCAUUCACUGUUACAGAUCUGAAAUGUGACAUCACUUGUCUUUUUCAGACAAGAAGAGAUGCAGAAGCUGUUGUCUUGGCCAGGAGGAGAGACACGUCUGCAGCGACAGACAGAAUCCAGCAUGGCGGUCGCUCAUCUUUCCUAGAGGCAAAGAGGAGCAGAAGCAAGUUAUGGGAACAAGGCGGCGAGUAGGAGAUAGAGAGAAGAAGUGAAAGAAACUGAAGAUGUCGUCUAAGGAUUUGGAGUGUACGCAGUGAAUCAGUAUUGUCUUCUCAGACUCAGAAGCCCAGGCCAGCUGCAUGGCCAGAUGGCCCACUGGCCCCAGUGGGCCUAUCCUGCUGGUCUGAGAACUACAAGCAAAGCAGAGAGAGAGAGAGAGAAAUUAUAGCCAGUGGCUGCUGCAACUCCAGCUGUUGAUCCAAUUCCAGACAUGAGCACAAUGAUGAUCUGGCUGCCAAAAGAAAAACACAUAUUCCAGCCAGAGAAAGAACUGCCAAGGAUCUGAUGAUUUGCUUCCAUAAAUGUGUUGUCUCAUGCACAUCCAGAAGAAAAGCGGAGCUCAGUUUAAUUCUUUUCUUUGGUAUUAUUUGAACUAUUUUGUGAUUUUGUGAUGACUUUGCUACCCAUAGUAUGUUUCAUGGACCAGCAGCAUCCAUGUCCCUCAGAACAGGUUAGAAAUGUAGAAACUUGGGCCCAGCCCCACACCUAGUAACUCAGACUCUGCAUUUUUAACAAGAGCCCCGGGUGAUUCACGUGCACCUUAGGAUUGAGAAGCAUCUGAAGGCAGACAAAGUCAGGGCAUAGGACCGCGUCCAGAGGAUUGGGUAGUGAACUUGGGGUCGAGAGAAGACCAGACUUGAGAUAUGAGACGUGUUCUAGACCCAGUUCUGCCGCUUACCCUCAGUGUGACCCUGGGGAAAUCACUCCCUCUCUUUAGGCAUUGAUUUCAUUUUCUUUAAAAUGGAGAAGAACGUUUGACUUCUUGACUUC